rnacentral:lncRNA from 1 species
ACACUUGAACCCCAUGCUCAUCCCUGGAACCGUGGGCUAUAGCACACCAAUUUGUCCUAAAAAUGCCCCAUUCACGCUGAUUCGCCCAUUUGACUAUCUAAAUAGCUCCACCAACCCCAAUAACCAAUAAGAGGUUGCUUCCCAUCCCUCUUGUAUGCCUCAACCAAUUUUCUACCCACAUAACGCCUGGACCUCGGGCUCACCCCC